AUGAUCCAUCUCAACAUCGAAAAGAUACCAGAGAAAUACAUCAUUGACAGAUGGAGGAAGACUGACCACAAGCUUGAUAUUACAAAAACACCAGCUGUUGCAGCUGAAAACUCCACACUAAGGUACACUGUGUUAGUAAGUAAAUUGGUGCAUGUGGCAUCAAUAGCUUCGAAGAAGAAGAGGAAAUAUGAGUAUCUGUUGGGAGAGUUGGACAGGAUACAGAAAAGGUUACGGGAAAUGGAUGAUGAAGAAGAAACAAUGGAUGAGGGGCAAAGUGCAACAACAAGAACAGUUACAUUUGUGUCAACAGCGGGAGAGGGAGAAGGAACAACAGCAUCAUUCACAAUUCAAGACCCAGAUGUAGCAAAAACAAAAGGCAGACCGAGGAUGCUAACUAUUCGUGAAGCAAUAAAGCAGAACAAGUUCUACAAAUGUUCACACUGUGGAUCGCAGAAACACACAGUAAAGAAUUGCACUAACCUUGACAAGGUGUACAACAAGCCUAAAGGGAAACAACCUAAGCAGUCAAACCCAAGGAAUGUCAAGAAAGGUGGAGAAAACAAGCGAAGUAGCCAGAGCAGCAACGGCAAGAAGAAGACCAAACCAACAACACAACACAACCCUGGAGCACAACCCUCCGGAAGAAGUGAAGAAAACAAUUGA
rnacentral:rRNA from 1 species